CUGGUUGAUCCUGCCAGUAGUUAUAUGCUUGUCUCAAAGAUUAAGCCAUGCAUGUCUAAGUACACACGAAUUAAAAGUGAAACCGCAAAAGGCUCAUUAUAUCAGUUAUGGUUCCUUAGAUCGUUAACAGUUACCUGGAUAACUGUAGUAAUUCUAGAGCUAACAAGAGCAAUGUAAACACGGGCCAAUGGAACGUGUGCUUUUAUUCUUGUUGAACUCUAGAUAACUUGCAGAUCGUAUGGUCUUGUACGGACGACACAUCUUUCAACUGUCUGCCCUAUCAACUCUUGAUGGCAGUAUUUAGGACUACCAUGGUUGCAACCGGUAACGGGGAAUCAGUGUUCGAUUCCGGGGAGGGAGCCUGAGAAACGGCUCUACACUUUAAAUUCUUUAACAAGGACCUAUUGGAGGGCAAGUCUGGUGCCAGAAGCCGCGGUAACUCCAGCUCCAAUAGCGUAUAUUAAAGUUGUUGCGGUUAAAACGUUCGUAGUUGAACUUGUGCUUCAUACGGGUAGUACAACUAUAAUUGUAGUUUGUGCUAUACCUUAUGUAUGUAAGCGUAUUACCGGUGGAGUUCUUAUAUGUAAUUGUAAUACUUGUAUUCUUUGCAUGUUCCUCCUAUUUAAACCUGCUUCAAUGCUCUUCAUCGAGUGUUGAUGUGGGCCGGUACAAUUAUUUUGAACAAAUUAGAUGUUCCUCCUAUUUAAACCUGUUUCAAUGCUCUUCAUCGAGUGUUGUUGUGGGCCGGUACAAUUACUUUGAACAAAUUAGAGUGCUUAAAGCAGGCNGGAAGUAUGGUUG
rnacentral:ncRNA from 1 species